UGGGGAAUUUUGGACAAUGGGCGAAAGCCUGAUCCAGCAAUGCCGCGUGUGUGAAGAAGGCCUUCGGGUUGUAAAGCACUUUUGUCCGGAAAGAAAUCCUUGGCUCUAAUACAGUCGGGGGAUGACGGUACCGGAAGAAUAAGCACCGGCUAACUACGUGCCAGCAGCCGCGGUAAUACGUAGGGUGCAAGCGUUAAUCGGAAUUACUGGGCGUAAAGCGUGCGCAGGCGGUUUGCUAAGACCGAUGUGAAAUCCCGGGCUCAACCUGGGAACUGCAUUGGUGACUGGCAGGCUAGAGUAUGGCAUGAGGGGGGUUAGAAUUCCGACGUGUGAGCAGUGAAAGUGCGUAGAGAUGUGGAGGAAUACCGAUGGCGAAGGCAGCCCCC
rnacentral:rRNA from 1 species